rnacentral:rRNA from 1 species
GUCGCAGCAGCCGCGGUAAUACGGAGGGUGCAAGCGUUAAUCGGAAUUACUGGGCGUAAAGCGCAUGCAGGCGGUUUGUUAAGCGAGAUGUGAAAGCCCCGGGCUCAACCUGGGAACUGCAUUUCGAACUGGCAAACUAGAGUUCUUGAGAGGGUGGUAGAAUUUCAGGUGUAGCGGUGAAAUGCGUAGAGAUCUGAAGGAAUACCAGUGGCGAAGGCGGCCACCUGGCAAGUAACUGACGCUCAGAUGCGAAAGCGUGGGUAGCAAACGGGAUUAGAUACCCCGGUAGUCCACGCCGUAAACGAUGUCUACUCGGAGUUUGGUUCCUUGAGAACUGGGCUCUUAAGCUAACGCAUUAAGUAGACCGCCUGGGGAGUACGGCCGCAAGGUUAAAACUCAAAUGAAUUGACGGGGGCCCGCACAAGCGGUGGAGCAUGUGGUUUAAUUCGAUGCAACGCGAAGAACCUUACCUACUCUUGACAUCCAUAGAACUUUUCAGAGAUGAAUUGGUGCCNUNCGGGAACUAUGAGACAGGUGCUGCAUGGNU